rnacentral:rRNA from 1 species
UACGUAGGGGGCAAGCGUUGUCCGGAAUUAUUGGGCGUAAAGCGCGCGCAGGCGGUUGUUUAAGUCUGGUGUAUAAGUGCGGGGCUCAACCCCGUGAGGCACUGGAAACUGGGCAACUUGAGUGCAGAAGAGGAGAGCGGAAUUCCACGUGUAGCGGUGAAAUGCGUAGAGAUGUGGAGGAACACCAGUGGCGAAGGCGGCUCUCUGGACUGUAACUGACGCUGAGGCGCGAAAGCGUGGGAGCAAACAGG